AUUGAACGCUGGCGGCAUGCUUUACACAUGCAAGUCGAACGGUAACAGGGAGCUUGCUCCGCUGACGAGUGGCGAACGGGUGAGUAAUGCGUCGGAACGUGCCGAGUAGUGGGGGAUAACGCAUCGAAAGGUGUGCUAAUACCGCAUACGAACUGAGGUUGAAAGUGGGGGACCUUCGGGCCUCACGCUAUUCGAGCGGCCGACGUCUGAUUAGCUAGUUGGUGAGGUAAAGGCUCACCAAGGCGACGAUCAGUAGCGGGUCUGAGAGGAUGGUCCGCCACACUGGGACGGAGAGACGGCCAAGACUCCUACGGGAGGCAGCAGUGGGGAAUUUUGGACAAUGGGCGCAAGCCUGAUCCGGCCAUGCCGCGUGUCUGAAGAAGGCCUUCGGGUUGUAAAGGACUUUUGUCCGGGAGCAAAUGCUGGUGGCUAACAUCCACCGGAGCUGGGAGUACCGGAAGAAUAAGCACCGGCUAACUACGUGCCAGCAGCCGCGGUAAAAC
rnacentral:rRNA from 1 species